rnacentral:rRNA from 1 species
AUUGAACGCUGGCGGCAGGCCUAACACAUGCAAGUCGAGCGGAUGAAGGGAGCUUGCUCCUGGAUUCAGCGGCGGACGGGUGAGUAAUGCCUAGGAAUCUGCCUGGUAGUGGGGGAUAACGUCCGGAAACGGGCGCUAAUACCGCAUACGUCCUGAGGGAGAAAGUGGGGGAUCUUCGGACCUCACGCUAUCAGAUGAGCCUAGGUCGGAUUAGCUAGUUGGUGGGGUAAAGGCCUACCAAGGCGACGAUCCGUAACUGGUCUGAGAGGAUGAUCAGUCACACUGGAACUGAGACACGGUCCAGACUCCUACGGGAGGCAGCAGUGGGGAAUAUUGGACAAUGGGCGAAAGCCUGAUCCAGCCAUGCCGUGUGUGUGAAGAAGGUCUUCGGAUUGUAAAGCACUUUAAGUUGGGAGGAAGGGCAGUAAGUUAAUACCUUGCUGUUUUGACGUUACCAACAGAAUAAGCACCGGCUAACUUCGU